CCCUAGCCCAGAUAGCAGCGAAAAUCCUUGUAUUUUUUUCUUUUUGAAAAAAUACAAGAUUGUAGCGAAUAGCUGGAAAAAGC
rfam:Flavobacterium sp. FPG59 Contig_263, whole genome shotgun sequence.